AUAUAUAUAUUACUCUUGCAGAUAAAAGCACCGUUUCUGGGAAAACUCUUAGACUAACUAAGAUUUCAAGUGCCCUGACAUCCUCUCCACGGAACAAACUGGAAUUUAUUAGACUUUAAUUUCUCUCUGCAAAUAUUCAUCUGGACUCAAAACUACCGAUUGGAUUCUGUCCGUGAAAGUUUGUUUUUUUUUUUACAAAAAAAAAAGUUUUUAAAAAUGAUUCGCUGUUUACAAUUUGUGUUUGUUUUCGCCAUGUUAGAACUGGCCUUAGCGUGGAUGGGGCGAUAUGAAGAGAAACCCUGGGCUCCUUCCAGACGAAGUUCUUAUUGUGUAAAGACGGGUGGCCAAUGUCUACAGAGCAGUCAGUGUUGUAGUUUUUCAGACGUGUGUCUAACCAACUCCAAGUAUACAAAAUAUGCAAAAUCACGCUACAGUACCUGUGAGAAUGUCAAGGCUCUAGCACUAACCAAAUCAAUCCAACCAUUUAAAAAAGCAGGUUCAUCGUGUACUGAUAGCUUAGAAUGUGUUGAUUUGUGUUGUCGGGAAAUUCGAGGCCACAGAUAUCACUACAACAGAUGUGGAAAACCGGAAGAUGACUUCACUUCCUACACAUGCGUGAUGGCACAACGAAGCGGAAAUGACGUAUUGGACGAUAUUGGAUUAUAAACAGGAAUUACUUCAAAGAUUUACAUUUUCAAUUUUCUGAAAAAUCAUAUUUACCUCUUUUUUUUUUUUUUUUUUAUCUGAUAUUUAAAUAUUAGAAUCACCAAAUUCCAUCAAUGUCCCUUUUUUUUCUAAAUUUGUAAAUUAUGGAAAUUGACAUAAUAGACCGUUUUGGUCCAGUGUUCUGUACCAUGUUGUAAGUUUCAAGACAUUUCACGGAACCACGUGCCCGAUUAUCUACCAUAUCUGAUAAUGUUCCAUGUCAAGAACAACUAUUAUCAAAACAAUUUGCGACUAGACCAAAAUAAGCUGGUAUCCAUGUAAAAUUAAUUACCCAGUCAUUGAGUCUCAUUAUGAUGUCAAUAUCCAAUUAUCGACAACUGGACAAAAAAAACGAAAAAAAAAAAACAGCAAAAAUUCUCGACAAACGCGACGGGAACAGGAAACAUUGUCACACAUUUUAUUUGAUUGAAAAAUAAAGAAGACCAUUUCGGUAGUUCUUUUUUUUUGAAAAAUAUUAAGAACUUCUGUUUUUCAUUUAUUAAUUAUUGUGUAAAAUAUCAAACAUUUCCAUGUUAUUCUGGCACCAUUUCGUAGAAUGAGUACCUAGAUUUUAAAAUAGGACAAUGUCCAUGGUUUUGUAAAUAUGUUUUCUGCUCAAUUUAUUGUACCAGUUCUAGAAUGUAUUACUAAGAAAGCAAAGGUAAUAAAAUUUAUCAAAGAAUAAA